CAGCGAAGGUGAUUGCAGCGGUGCCAUUUUCUUCAUCUAUCUCCUCAAUCUCCGCUUCAUAACACCUGUAAAGAUAUCAUGGCUGUAAGCAGCCUGGCAUCGGGAAAGGUCUCAAAGGGUUAAAGCAAGCCAACCUGCCUCCUUCCAGCUCCCCAACACCUCAAAGCCCGCCAGUACUUGCAUAAUUAUUUCAGACCUCGAAAUUCAAACAACAGUUUCCAGGGAAACUGCUGGAGCCCCACAACCCUCAACUCAUCAGCAUCACUGAUUUCAGGUCUACCCUGAAGAGAAGACUACAAAAAUGAUUGAGUUGAGACUACAAAAAUGAUUCUCACUGAACUUAGAGAUCAGCUCAAACCUGGAAAGAUGGGACCAGCAGAAAUCGCCAGUUCUCACAGCCAGUGUAUGUUGUUUCCAAUCUUUCUCCUCAUCACUUUUGCAGCCUGGCUGGAUUUCAUCAGGUUUAUCUUUGUUUGCUUUGAAGAAGAAUUGAAAUGCCUCCUUCUCUAAGAAGAUGAUUGCGUAUCCCUUGCACAGCUUGGGUAGAGCACAGAGGUGAUCUCACAGGGUUUUUCCACCCGGUGUAUCUGAUUUUAAAAACAUAAAUAUGUGAAAGCCCCAAUGUUGCCUCUUAAAAUCCCCUUUGUGCUCAAAGAGGAAGCUUGGUGAAUAGUUUCGGCAAAGUAUCAGGAAUAUCAGAUAGCACUGAUUCACCAACUUCUGGAAACGAACCUUAGUUUCUCCAGUCAUCAGUUCGUGAUGAGAAAACUUCUCUUUCCCGGGAACUAACACGGUAACAGCCAGACUUCAGCCCCUCCUCCAACAAAGGCCACGCAUGAAUUUGGCAAGCGUUCCACCUUUCUCCACCCGGCUCGCGCUGUGCCCUUCUGGCUGUGUGGCUGCCCCUGGCUCCCCACUCAAGUCUUAUUUGUCUUUGGGGGUCCCACUGUCUCCUAGUAACUUCUCUUCCCCCAAAUUCUUGCCUGUGGGGAGCAUUUUCCCCCCUUGAAACCCUCUGGCUUGUAUGUCAACAUCUCUUAACCUUGACAGCGUUGACAUUUACUGUAGAAUUUCCAGGGCAGGGACUGUGCUGAAUACUUCUUUUUUUUUUUUUUUUCAAAAAAAUGUUCCUCUUUAUUUAAACAUAAAACACAUUUACAGCAUGCAGGUUAACUUAUAUGGUGUCUUCCCAAACCCAGUAUCUCUGAAUGUGUCUUCAAGCACUGAAAAUAAACCAACAUAUUCCACAAGUAGACUCAGACUCUCUUCUGUAACCUCAUGUCAAAUGAGUUGAAUUAAGCACAAGUUAUGCAUAGUAGUUUUCUUAAGUUAGGCAAAUAAUUUAAUUGAUCACCAUGAAUAAAUAUUAUUCUCUUAUUUCAUUGAGUUUCUCUUCUGAACCAUUUAUCAAUACCAUUCUGUGCUGAAUACUUCUUUGCAC